ACGGAAGGCAGCAGUGGGGAAUAUUGCACAAUGGGGGAAACCCUGAUGCAGCAACGCCGCGUGAGUGAAGAAGUAUUUCGGUAUGUAAAGCUCUAUCAGCAGGGAAGAUAAUGACGGUACCUGAGUAAGAAGCCCCGGCUAACUACGUGCCAGCAGCCGCGGUAAUACGUAGGGGGCAAGCGUUAUCCGGAUUUACUGGGUGUAAAGGGAGCGUAGACGGAAUAGCAAGUUUGAAGUGAAAGCCCUGGGCUUAACCCGGGAACUGCUUUGAAAACUGUUAAUCUAGAGUACUGGAGGGGUAUGGGGAAUUCCUAGUGUAGUAGUGAAAUGCGUAGAUAUUAGGAAGAACACCGGAGGCGAAGGCGCCAUACUGGACAGAUACUGACGUUGAGGCUCGAAAGCGUGGGGAGCAAACAGGAUUAGAUACCCUGGUA
rnacentral:rRNA from 1 species